rnacentral:rRNA from 1 species
GCUUAGUACGGCGAGUGAAGCGGCAAAAGCUCAAAUUUGAAAUCGGCCAUCAGGUCGAGUUGUAAUUUGUAGAUUGUACUUUGAGAGCGGAUUAAAGUCUGUUGGAACACAGCGCCUUAGAGGGUGACAGCCCCGUAAAAUCUAUUCUCAUUGUAAGGUACUUUCGAAGAGUCGAGUUGUUUGGGAAUGCAGCUCUAAGUGGGAGGUAAAUUCCUUCUAAAGCUAAAUAUUGACGAGAGACCGAUAGCGAACAAGUACUGUGAAGGAAAGAUGAAAAGCACUUUGAAAAGAGAGUGAAAAAGUACGUGAAAUUGUUAAAAGGGAAGGGUAUUGAAUCAGACGUGGUGCUGUUGUUCAACUUUGUUUCGGCAUGGUGUACUCAGCAGUACUAGGCCAAGGUGGGGUGUUUGGGAGUGAAAAAGGAAUAGGAACGUAGCUCUUCGGAGUGUUAUAAUCUAUUUUCAUAGCUCCUCAGGCGCCUCAGGACUGCGCUUCGGCAAGGACUUUGGCAUAAUGAUUCUAUACCGCCCGUCUUGA